rnacentral:rRNA from 1 species
AUUGAACGCUGGCGGCAUGCCUUACACAUGCAAGUCGAACGGCAGCACGGAGCUUGCUCUGGUGGCGAGUGGCGAACGGGUGAGUAAUAUAUCGGAACGUACCCUAGAGUGGGGGAUAACGUAGCGAAAGUUACGCUAAUACCGCAUACGAUCUAAGGAUGAAAGUGGGGGAUCGCAAGACCUCAUGCUCGUGGAGCGGCCGAUAUCUGAUUAGCUAGUUGGUAGGGUAAAAGCCUACCAAGGCAUCGAUCAGUAGCUGGUCUGAGAGGACGACCAGCCACACUGGAACUGAGACACGGUCCAGACUCCUACGGGAGGCAGCAGUGGGGAAUUUUGGACAAUGGGCGAAAGCCUGAUCCAGCAAUGCCGCGUGAGUGAAGAAGGCCUUCGGGUUGUAAAGCUCUUUUGUCAGGGAAGAAACGGUGAAAGCUAAUAUCUCUUGCUAAUGACGGUACCUGAAGAAUAAGCACCGGCUAACUACGUGCCAGCAGCCGCGGUAAUACGUAGGGUGCAAGCGUUAAUCGGAAUUACUGGGCGUAAAGCGUGCGCAGGCGGUUUUGUAAGUCUGAUGUGAAAUCCCCGGGCUCAACCUGGGAAUUGCAUUGGAGACUGCAAGGCUAGAAUCUGGCAGAGGGGGGUAGAAUUCCACGUGUAGCAGUGAAAUGCGUAGAUAUGUGGAGGAACACCGAUGGCGAAGGCAGCCCCCUGGGUCAAGAUUGACGCUCAUGCACGAAAGCGUGGGGAGCAAACAGGAUUAGAUACCCUGGUAGUCCACGCCCUAAACGAUGUCUACUAGUUGUCGGGUCUUAAUUGACUUGGUAACGCAGCUAACGCGUGAAGUAGACCGCCUGGGGAGUACGGUCGCAAGAUUAAAACUCAAAGGAAUUGACGGGGACCCGCACAAGCGGUGGAUGAUGUGGAUUAAUUCGAUGCAACGCGAAAAACCUUACCUACCCUUGACAUGGCUGGAAUCCUCGAGAGAUUGAGGAGUGCUCGAAAGAGAACCAGUACACAGGUGCUGCAUGGCUGUCGUCAGCUCGUGUCGUGAGAUGUUGGGUUAAGUCCCGCAACGAGCGCAACCCUUGUCAUUAGUUGCUACGAAAGGGCACUCUAAUGAGACUGCCGGCGACAAACCGGAGGAAGGUGGGGAUGACGUCAAGUCCUCAUGGCCCUUAUGGGUAGGGCUUCACACGUCAUACAAUGGUACAUACAGAGCGCCGCCAACCCGCGAGGGGGAGCUAAUCGCAGAAAGUGUAUCGUAGUCCGGAUUGUAGUCUGCAACUCGACUGCAUGAAGUUGGAAUCGCUAGUAAUCGCGGAUCAGCAUGUCGCGGUGAAUACGUUCCCGGGUCU